rnacentral:snRNA from 1 species
AGCUUUGCGCAGUGGCAGUAUCGUAGCCAAUGAGGUUUAUCCGAGGCGCGAUUAUUGCUAAUAGAAAACUGCUAGGAUUUUUUUUUUAAGAUUUUAUUUAUUUAUUUGAGAGAGCGCACGCGCA